rnacentral:rRNA from 1 species
UGGUAAACCACUUAGUGGCAGACGGGUGAGUAAUACGUAGGUAACCUGCCCUAGAGACUGGGACAACAGUUAGAAAUGACUGCUAAUACCGGAUGAAUCAUAUUUAGAAAACUAGAUAUGCUAAAAGAAGCGUUUGCUUCACUUUAGGAUGGGCUUACGGUGUAUUAGCUAGUUGGUGAGGUAAUGGCUCACCAAGGCAACGAUGCAUAUCCGAGCUGAGAGGCUGAUCGAACACACUGGGACUGAGACACGGCCCAGACUCC